rnacentral:rRNA from 1 species
UACGGAGGGUGCAAGCGUUAUCCGGAUUUACUGGGUUUAAAGGGUGUGUAGGCGGGCUUUUAAGUCAGUGGUGAAAUCUCCGGGCUCAACCUGGAAACUGCCAUUGAUACUAUUAGUCUUGAAUAUUGUUGAGGUAGGCGGAAUAAGUCAUGUAGCGGUGAAAUGCAUAGAUAUGACUUAGAACACCAAUUGCGAAGGCAGCUUGCUAAACAAUAAUUGACGCUGAGGCACGAAAGCGUGGG